CACCGCGGUUACACGUGAAGGCUCAAGUUGAUAGUCUACGGCGUAAAGGGUGGUAAGAGGCAUUAAUUAAACAAAUAAAGUCGAACAACCUCCAGGCCGUUGCACGCAUUGCGAGGACAGGAAGCCCAAUCACGAAAGUAACUUUAGAACCUCUCGAUCCACGAAAGCUGAGAAA
rnacentral:rRNA from 1 species